AUACGGAAGGUCCAAGCGUUAAUCGGAAUUACUGGGCGUAAAGCGCGCGUAGGUGGUUUUUUAAGUUAGGAUGUGAAAGACCCUCGGGCGUCAACCUAAGGAACGUAGCAUCCAAAACUAAGAUGACUAGAGUACGAAAGAAGGGAAGUAGAAUUCACAGUGUAGCGGUGGAAUGCGUAGAUAUUGUGAAGAAUACCAAUGGCGAAGGCAGCUUCCUGGAUCAUUACUGACACUGAGGAACGAAAGCAUGGGUAGCGAAGAGGAUUAGAUACCCUCGUAGUCCAUGCCGUAAACGAUGUGUGUUAGACGUUGGAAAUUUAAUUUUCUAGUGUCGCAGGGAAA
rnacentral:rRNA from 1 species